AAGUCGUAACAAGGUUUCCGUAGGUGAACCUGCGGAAGGAUCAUUAAAAAGUUGAUUAUACGGUGCUUUCUGCUUAGCGGAAGGGUAGCGGAGGUCGCUAGUUCGCUAGUGAUUGAAGCCGCUCGGAAGCUUAGCGGGGGCCUGUAUAUGACCACUUUUAAACCACUUGUGCACUGUUUUUGGUCUCUGGUGGGAUCAGUCGCUAGCGGAUUUUUUGUGGCUUCGCUCUUCGGAGUGUCGCUACUGCCGCUAGCGAACCCCACCGCUUGUAUUACCAACUUGUAUUUUGAAUGAAAAUAGUUGAUUUCUAACCGAAAGGUAUGAAAUAUAGUUACAACUUUUGGCAACGGAUCUCUUGGCUCUC
rnacentral:misc_RNA from 1 species